rnacentral:lncRNA from 1 species
UUCGCUGUUGAAUGGUAAGGACAAAUAUGCAUGGAAGGGGGCAAUUUUCGGAUAAAUCCGCAUAUGAAUUUCUCUGGAAACAGGUUGCUAAAUAUUUGAAUUCCCCUGAUAUAGCCUAGUUAUGGAAGCUUAAACUGUCACUCAAGAGUAGAAGUGAACAAAAUCUGAUUUGAUUCAAAAAAUUCAAUAAAAGAAAUAAAUUUUGAAUUAAAUAAUUUAAGUUAUUUGAGUUAAUCAACUUAAAUAAAAAAUUAAGUUUUUCGAUUUAACUUGAAUAUGAAUUAUACAAUUCGAGUUAUUCGAAAAUUCAAAUAAGAAAAAGUAAAACUAUGUUGUUUUGAUAAAUGUUUACCUUUCUAAAGUUAAAAAUCAAAACCACUAUAUUGUUUAUGUAGUUAAAUAAUCUUGUACUUCGUCUAUAGUUAAAUAAUCGGUCCAUGUAAACAUAACAUUGAGUAUAAAUGAUAAAAUUUGUUAACUAGAUUUGAUUCGAAAUUUUUUGACUCAAUUUGAUUUAAAAAAAAAUUCAAAUUGAGUUCAAUUGUUAAAAUAGGAUUAGUCAUCUAGUCAUCAAAUACUCACCCCUACUCAAGGGUAUGGUUUUCCUUUGGAAGGUUUGUAAUAAUUUGCUCCCUAUUCGAAUUGAACUACGGCGGAGAAACAUUGUUGUAAAUUGAGAAUGCCCCUUUUGUUCCUCAGAGGAGGAAAACUCUGAAUCAUUUAUUUCGCACUUGCUUCUAAGCUAGAGCAGUCUGAUUCGGGACUGAUGUGGGCAUUAAAAUUGAUCAAGUUCAAGUGACAGACUUCAGAAAAUGGAUCCAACAGUAGUUAGAAGGUAUGGAUAUACAAAAAUAAUGUCUGUUUUAAUGUUGGAAGUCCCUAAGCCAUGCGGAGUUGUCAAGCAAGUCAAGAAAAUAUUCUCAGAAACCUCAAUGGUAUCCCAAAUUAAAGUCCUUAACACAAAGACAAUACAGGGGAGUAAUGCAGGUGAAAACUCUAGUGAUGAAAACAUUAACCAAAUUGUGGGGGGGGGGGGGACUGUUAUUUGUCAGAAACAAUGAUUGCUUAAAAGUAACAUUGGCUUAUGAUAGGGUCCCAAGGAAAUAUGGUGGUGCAGCAGUCUCAUUGGACGAUUCACAUCGACAAUAAAUUAAUAAUAAGCAAAACUCUGGAAGGAGACUCAAGAUUAUAUUGUAAAUUGUUGUUGGUCCGAUUACUUCUACCAAAGAUGACAGCAUCAAAGGGAAGCUGAUGACCCAUUGAAAGAUUGCAGUCCUUUGUUGUCGGACAUUCGCUACAUAAGCCGCCAAAUCAAUUUCGAUCACGAACAUGGAUCACACCUUAUGUUUACAUAGGCUGUUCAACACUACUCACUCGCAUAAGAACUCGGCCAACUA